rnacentral:tRNA from 1 species
GGGGGUGUAGCUCAGUGGUAGAGUACUUUGCCAGCCAGCAAGAGGCCCUGAGUUCAAUCCUCAGUACCACACA